AACGAACGCUGGCGGCAGGCUUAACACAUGCAAGUCGAACGCAUCCUUCGGGGUGAGUGGCAGACGGGUGAGUAACGCGUGGGAACGUGCCCUUCAGUUCGGGAUAACCCAGGGAAACUUGGGCUAAUACCGGAUACGUGCGAGAGCAGAAAGAUUUAUCGCUGAAGGAGCGGCCCGCGUCUGAUUAGCAAGUUGGUGGGGUAAUGGCCCACCAAGGCGACGAUCAGUAGCUGGUGUGAGAGGAUGAUCAGCCACAUUGGGACUGAGACACGGCCCAAACUCGUACGGGAGGCAGCAGUGGGGAGUAUUGGACAAUGGGCGCAAGCCUGAUCCAGCCAUGCCGCGUGAGUGAUGAAGGCCUUAGGGUUGUAAAGCUCUUUCAUCCGGGACGAUAAUGACGGUACCGGAAGAAGAAGCCCCGGCUAACAUCGUGCCAGCCGCCGCGGUAA
rnacentral:rRNA from 1 species